CAUCGUUUUUGCGCCUGAAUAGUACUCUAUGGAGGGUGCUGACUCUGAUCUGCUGGUCCCUGGCCAGGCCGUUGUUGCAGAAAACGGACAAGAGGAGCGGACUGCAGCAGGAGCUGGUGUGAGCAGUUCUUGCUUGUAUCCACCAGCCCUCACCCUUCCCUGCUGAUCAGAUGCCUUCAGCAUGGUUGUAUGAGUGCAUGUGGGUCCACGGUGCAUGAAUGUGUGUGCAUAUGCAGGGUGCGUAUCUGCGGCAGGCUCGCUGUGUGCGCACACACACCUUCACGCAUGCGCACGGCACCUGUGUGGGCUUCCAGGCUGUCCACCGCCCAUCCCACACGGCGCUGAGGCUGCAGCUCUGCCGGCUGUCCUCGCACCGCUCCUGACAGGAAGCCAGGCUUCCUGGGGUCUUAAAUCAGCAAAGCAGGAAGGAAAUAAAGGCCGCAGAGCUGUUGGAGUGGAAGAAGCCAACUCUAAGGCGGAACCCACGCCUCUCGUUACACGACCACGUAGGGUCUCCCCGCGCGGCACCCUCAGGCCCCGCAGCCGCGGACAGAACUGCAUCGCGCUGCUUCCUCGGACCUAAGCGAACCCUCGGCCUCCCUCUGCUGUGGUCUCCUCUGCUGCAGUGCAUCCCUCACGUGAGACGGGAAUCCUAAAAUUGCCCUCCCGCUGGCUGUGCGAUUGCAAGUAUCUUAAGCCAUGGCUCGGGUAGAGCAAGUCUGACAGAAGGAAUCGGCCUCACGAGGCAGCACCUGGCCUCGGACCUCACGGUGCUAGUGCUCAACUUCGGGAGGUCUCACCUGACCUGCGUCACACACGAUCUGCUCCGGGUGAUUUGUUGUUCGGCUUGUUGUGCUGCUAGGGUGGGAACACACGUCUCCGCCCACACACGUACUAAGCACACGCUGCACCCCUGAGCUGCACCCCCCAGCCCACGCCUCGAGUUUCUGAGGACCACCCACGCUGCGGCAGAGAGCACUCCCUGGAUCUGCCCUGAAAAUGGAGCAGACAUUACAAAGUGUUGGGUUGAAAGGAGGGUAAGUGUGAUCUGAACGGAAACGGCUGAGCUGCUCUGCCCUGCUCUCUGUGGCUCCGUGAGAAAUUGCUGCUUACACACUCAUCAGGAGCCGAGCGUGGCGGCGCACGCCUGGAAUCCCAGCACUCGGGAGGCUGAGGCAGGAGGAUCACUGUG